GCGCUCCGGCCCUUGUUAAUGGGGGAAACGUUUCGGAACGGACGCUAAUACCGCAUACGUCCUACGGGAGAAAGCAGGGGACCUUCGGGCCUUGCGCUAUCAGAUGAGCCUAGGUCGGAUUAGCUAGUUGGUGAGGUAAUGGCUCACCAAGGCUACGAUCCGUAACUGGUCUGAGAGGAUGAUCAGUCACACUGGAACUGAGACACGGUCCAGACUCCUACGGGAGGCAGCAGUGGGGAAUAUUGGACAAUGGGCGAAAGCCUGAUCCAGCCAUGCCGCGUGUGUGAAGAAGGUCUUCGGAUUGUAAAGCACUUUAAGUUGGGAGGAAGGGCAUUAACCUAAUACGUUAGUGUUUUGACGUUACCGACAGAAUAAGCACCGGCUAACUCUGUGCCAGCAGCCGCGGUAAUACAGAGGGUGCAAGCGUUAAUCGGAAUUACUGGGCGUAAAGCGCGCGUAGGUGGUUUGUUAAGUUGAAUGUGAAAUCCCCGGGCUCAACCUGGGAACUGCAUCCAAAACUGGCAAGCUAGAGUAUGGUAGAGGGUAGUGGAAUUUCCUGUGUAGCGGUGAAAUGCGUAGAUAUAGGAAGGAACACCAGUGGCGAAGGCGACUACCUGGACUGAUACUGACACUGAGGUGCGAAAGCGUGGGGAGCAAACAGGAUUAGAUACCCCUGGUAGUCCACGCCGUAAACGAUGUCAACUAGCCGUUGGGGGUCUUUGAACUCUUAGUGGCGCAGCUAACGCAUUUAAGUUGACCGCCUGGGGAGUACAGACGCAAGGUUAAAACUCAAAUGAAUUGACGGGGGCCCGCACAAGCGGUGAGCAUGUGGUUUAAUUCCAAAGCAACGCCGAAGAACCUUACCAGGCCUUGACAUACCAAUGAACUUUUCUAGAAGAUAGAAUUGGUGCCUUCGGGGAACAUUGGAAACAAGAGCCUGCAUUGGCUUGGUCCUCCAGCUUCGUGUC
rnacentral:rRNA from 1 species